rnacentral:rRNA from 1 species
UACGUAGGGUGCAAGCGUUAAUCGGAAUUACUGGGCGUAAAGCGUGCGCAGGCGGUUCUAUAAGACAGAUGUGAAAUCCCCGGGCUCAACCUGGGAACUGCAUUUGUGACUGUAGAGCUGGAGUGCGGCAGAGGGGGAUGGAAUUCCGCGUGUAGCAGUGAAAUGCGUAGAGAUGUGGAGGAACACCGAUGGCGAAGGCAGCCCCCUGGGCCAAUACUGACGCUCAUGCACGAAAGCGUGGGGAGCAAACAGG